UUACUACUCCCUCCGUUCUGAAUUACUUGUCGCAUGUACUAAUGUAUCUAGAUUUAUUUUAGUUCUAGAUACAUCCAUUUCAGCGACAAGUAAUUUGGAACGGAGGGAGUAUUUU
rfam:Triticum aestivum genome assembly, contig: Triticum_aestivum_CS42_TGACv1_scaffold_592210_7BS